CCUACGGGGCGCUGCAGUGAGGAAUAUUGGUCAAUGGCCGCAGGGCUGAACCAGCCAAGUCGCGUGAGGGAUGACGGUCCUAUGGAUUGUAAACCUCUUUUGUCAGGGAGCAAAGGGCGCCACGUGUGGCGCUUUGCGAGUACCUGAAGAAAAAGCAUCGGCUAACUCCGUGCCAGCAGCCGCGGUAAUACGGAGGAUGCGAGCGUUAUCCGGAUUUAUUGGGUUUAAAGGGUGCGCAGGCGGAAUGUCAAGUCAGCGGUAAAAUUUCGGGGCUCAACCCCGUCGUGCCGUUGAAACUGGCGUUCUUGAGUGAGCGAGAAGUAUGCGGAAUGCGUGGUGUAGCGGUGAAAUGCAUAGAUAUCACGCAGAACUCCGAUUGCGAAGGCAGCAUACCGGCGCUCAACUGACGCUCAUGCACGAAAGCGUGGGUAUCGAACAGGAUUAGAUACCCCUGUAGUC
rnacentral:rRNA from 1 species